rnacentral:rRNA from 1 species
UACGGAGGGUGCAAGCGUUAAUCGGAAUUACUGGGCGUAAAGCGCACGCAGGCGGUCUGUCAAGUCGGAUGUGAAAUCCCCGGGCUCAACCUGGGAACUGCAUUCGAAACUGGCAGGCUAGAGUCUUGUAGAGGGGGGUAGAAUUCCAGGUGUAGCGGUGAAAUGCGUAGAGAUCUGGAGGAAUACCGGUGGCGAAGGCGGCCCCCUGGACAAAGACUGACGCUGAGGCGCGAAAGCCAGGGGAGCAAACGGG